AAUUUUACUUUGGUAAGGCCUGUGAAAUUGUUCAGUCCGGACCGGUUGGAAGAAUCAGUCCAACCCUAGGAAGAUCAUUCGUCCGUGGAUUGUUCCAGAGACUACAAGCUCCCGGCCGAAAUGCGCAUUUGGCGUGGGGCCCGUACAGCUUCUUAUAAAGGAUGCCCCAAAUACAAACACCAUAUAAAAAAUUCACAUCUUCAUUCUAUUUCAAGUCUGGUUCGUCCAAUUCAGCUCAAUAGUAUUGACGCUUUCACUUAAAGACGUUCAUAUACAGUGGUAACAUAUGAACAACCGUCAAUCAAUAAACUGGAGGAUUUUAAUAAAAUACCAUGAUUUGAAAUCCAUAAUUACCUCACUACUAGCUUUACUGUUGAAAGUCUUGGAAAAUGUAUAUUUAAUUCCCACUAUAGUGGUUCCUUAAUUGCUUAACGUCCACUUAUUAUAUUUCUUUACUUUAUCUACUUUCUCCAUUUAAUGCCUUUUAUUGUUAUAACUAUUAAUUUUUGUUUCUUUUCACGCAGUAUAUAUAAACCCGUAUUUGGCUUUGUAACUAUUUAGAUUAUCAUUAUAAAUAGUUGUAAGUUAAAUAUUUUGCCACAACGGUUCUGUUAUUUACUACUCUUCCUAUCUCUUCAAUUAUCCUGCCCUUUCCAAUAAGCAUCAUUUUUUUUUUUUUUAUGUGCUUUUUAUAAUAUUCCUAUUUCGCUUCCUUUAUAUUUUCCAAUGUUCCCCGUAUCCAUCCGAUAUUUAAGUUCUUUCCUUUAAAGGUUUUUUUUUUUAUAAUAUCUGUAUUACUAUGUUGUUAUUUUUAUUGCUACUGUUUUCAUUCUUUGUUUAAUCUAUUUGUGUAACCGCCGAGAUUAGUUAAAUUGUAAUUGGUUUGUUUGGUAUUAAGGACUGUAAUUUGUUAUUACAAUUUUUCAGUCUUUUGUAUGUAAAUAUACUAUUUACUAAAAUACAUCUAUAAUCAUCAUUGUUUUAGAUGUCUAAUAAAAGUAUUCUGAUAGACCUUUAUAAUUCAUAGACAUUUGAGACUUCCUAAGUCAUAUAGACCUAAGUUUGACGUCUCAUAGCCUUGGCAUGUUUACU